UUCAUACAAAAUGAACAGAAG
ensembl:piRNA 21ur-5751 ncRNA